GGCCCUGCGCAUAAGUCAACGGUAGACCAGCGGAACAUGCCAGUGCGACCCCGGUUCGACUCCGGGAUGCAGGGCCA
rnacentral:tRNA from 1 species